rnacentral:rRNA from 1 species
UACGUAGGAGGCAAGCGUUGUCCGGAAUUACUGGGCGUAAAGCGCGUGUAGGUGGUGGGACAAGUCUGCUGUGAAAGCGCCUGGCUUAACCGGGCGAGGUCGGCGGAAACUGUUUCACUGGAGGACGGUAGAGGGGGGUGGAAUUCCCGGUGUAGUGGUGAAAUUGCGUAGAGAGUGGAGGAACACCUGUGGCGAAGGCGGCCCG